rnacentral:rRNA from 1 species
UACGUAGGCAGCGAGCGUUGUUCGGAAUUACUGGGCGUAAAGCGUGCGUAGGCGGUCGGCUAAGUUUGGUGUGAAAUCUCCCGGCUCAACCGGGAGGGUGCGUCGACAACUGGCCGGCUAGAGUGCGGGAGAGGGAAGUGGAAUUCCUGGUGUAGCGGUGAAAUGCGUAGAUAUCAGGAGGAACACAGGUGGUGAAGACGGCUUCCUGGACCGUGACUGACGCUGAGGCACGAAAGCGUGGGGAGCAAACAGG